UUUGAUCCUGGCUCAGGACGAACGCUGGCGGCGUGCUUAACACAUGCAAGUCGAACGAGGUCCAUCCAGUCGCAAGACUGGGGAAGACCGAGUGGCGAACGGGUGAGUAACACGUGAGGAACGUGCCCCGGAGACCGGGAUAACAGCGGGAAACCGCUGCUAAUACCGGAUACCUUCCUUUGACCGCAUGGUCGAUUGAAGAAAUGGAUUCCGCUCCGGGAGCGCCUCGCGGUCUAUCAGCUUGUUGGUGGGGUAACGGCCUACCAAGGCGACGACGGAUAGCUGGUCUGAGAGGACGAUCAGCCACACUGGGACUGAGACACGGCCCAGACUCCUACGGGAGGCAGCAGUGGGGAAUCUUGCCCAAUGGGCGAAAGCCUGAGGCAGCAACGCCGCGUGUGGGAUGAAGGCCCUUGGGUUGUAAACCACUUUCAGCAGGGACGAAAAUGACGGUACCUGCAGAAGAAGCCCCGGCCAACUACGUGCCAGCAGCCGCGGUAAGACGUAGGGGGCAAGCGUUGUCCGGAUUUAUUGGGCGUAAAGAGCUCGUAGGCGGCUCAGAAAGUCGGGUGUGAAACCUCCAGGCUCAACCUGGAGACGCCACCUGAUACUGCUGUGGCUAGAGUCCGGUAGGGGAGCACGGAAUUCCCGGUGUAGCGGUGAAAUGCUUAGAUAUCGGGAGGAACACCAGUGGCGAAGGCGGUGCUCUGGGCCGGAACUGACGCCGAGGAGCGAAAGCGUGGGUAGCAAACAGGAUUAGAUACCCUGGUAGUCCACGCCGUAAACGUUGGGCACUAGGUGUGGGACCCUAUCGACGGGUUCCGUGCCGUAGCUAACGCAUUAAGUGCCCCGCCUGGGGAGUACGGCCGCAAGGCUAAAACUCAAAGGAAUUGACG
rnacentral:rRNA from 1 species